rnacentral:misc_RNA from 1 species
CCUCUCUCUCUCUCUCUCUUUUUAAUUUUCUAUUUUAAAUAUUUCUGGGGUGCUUUAAAUUCUUUGUUCUUUUGCUUGGCUUUUGUUCACAUGCCUAUUCAGUAUCGAAACCCCGAUUAUUUUUAAGUUAUGGUUUUCUGUAGCAGCUUUUGCUUUUCUUUAUCUUUCUUUUAUUCAGUGGUGAGAUUAUGUGUGAUUAUAUGAGAUAUUGGCUACCUUUCCCAUGAUUACCUCUCAAUAGUUAUGCUGGAUUUGAAUUAGGGUUAGGUAUUAAUAAUAUCCCAUGCCAUCCACAGUUGACCUUUAACCUUUAAUCCAGAAAGUAAUAAUCUGGAUUCCUGCAAAAAGUAAUUCCCAUCUUUCUUGCCUAACCCAUGUGUUUUCCCUUACAUAUUAUGCAUUAAUACUUGAUGAUAGUUAUAAUCAUUUUUCAUGUGAAAUUUGAUCAGAGUGGCUAGUGACAAAUAGUGCAUAUAAUUAUUUGUUAGUUCAUAAUUAGAGGUGCGAUCGAUAAAUUAUAAACCUUGCAGGGUCUAAUCAAUAUUGAAAUGAGGUUAAUGAAGGUAGGGUUAGGGUUAAGAAAAUUUUUCCAUCUCUUAAUGUAAUUCAGCACAUAAAGGUGACUACUUUUUAAAGCACCCAAUAGGCCACUCUUUGUUUUUAGCUCUCCAGACAUGAAGGCCCAUGCUUUUGAUUUCUUUUAAGUAUGCUUCUUGAGACAAGGUAUAGUAUCCAUUAAGUUAGGCAUCAAGAACAUCAAACAUAAAAAAAGGAGAAAUAUUGUACUGCUGCGAUUAUCAUAUAACUUUGUCUUUACAUUUUCUAUUGGGCUAUAAAGCUAGCUACAUGGUUUAAAUUAUUCAUUGAGAAGUGUGGGUGUCUUGUUUUUACAUGGCAGCUAAGCUAUAGGAUCUCUAGUCUCAGAUAAUGUGUGCUCCUACUUCUCUGGACCAAAACCAAAUGCCUUCCAACUACUACUAUUCAUAAUAAGGUUAGUUCAUACUUGCUUUAUUUAUAGCUUUGAUCAUAAUUUACCAAUUCACUUGCGCCCACUGAAAAAGAAGUGCAUCACUGCAAGUUCUGCAGAAUUUGCAUCUCAUCUCUCUUUGUUUUGUUUCUGUGAGUAUUUUUCUCUUCAUUUCAUUGACCAUUGUAACUUGAGCUUCUGAAAUUUUGUGUUAGUUCUACACAUUCUGCUAGUUCUUGCUAGAUUGUCAGAAUCAAGAUGCCAUUUGUCUAAUUUGCAGAAACAGAGCUCACAUUUUCUCUGAAAAUUGCUAAAGCUGGAUCUUCAUCUGUAAAAUCAUUUUCAUCAAAUGAUGUUCAAUUCCUUUUCUUAGAAUAACAAUUAGGUGAAUCUGAUACAUCAUCUUGCCUUCUGCAAUUUUGUGCUAAUGAAUUCUUGCAGGCAUUUGUGUCUUUAUGCUGUAGAAACUGAAGGUGUCAUCUCUGAUCAUUUCAUUACAAGCAGUCAUUGAAUCACUAAAAAAUUAUGCCAUCAUUAUAUUAAAUUGGAUGCUUUCUCUCUUUUUUCUUCUUAAAGCAUUUGAGAUGAGUCUAUCCUUGCCCCCGAAAUGAUUUGAAAACAGUUUCUUCCUUUUUUCUAAUGAUGAUUACUAAUAUCUCUGCUGUUUUGUGCAUACAAUUUAUCCUUAAGCUUCCUCUCAUUUAAUCUUAAAACAUUAUUAUAGCUAUUAUUAGGUUGCAUUGAGACAUGGUUAAUAAUUGAGAACGUAAGAGAAGCCUAAUGACAUUGUGUUUCAUGAUUCAUGGAAAGCCUUGGAACUGGCAUUAAGAUAAAUCCAAGUGUUUUGUACUUGUUACUUUUAUUCUCUCUAGAAUCUUAUUUCAGAGCAAGUAAUCUGAAUUUUUUUUUUCAUGUAUCAGAAUUCUGAUGGUUCUUUUCAUAUUAAACCUUUUCAGGGUCAGUACUACUGGCAAUCCACAAAUGAGCAAGGACAUCCCUUAGAGAAAACAACUGCUGAACUGUCAGUCUGGUAGCCCAUUUCACGCGAUCUAAAGAAGUUUCAACAAAGAACAGAACAGGACUAUGAGCGAUUUUAGUUCUGAAAGAUCAAAGCCAUGGAACAUAUAUGCAAAUUCAGACCCUACCCCAUCUCAGACUGGAGUCAUCGACAGAGAAGCUCCAUGGAAAAAUUUUGGAACAUCAAUGAAUGCCAUUGCCUUUGGAUUUGUUGCUACAGCCAUAUUGAUAUCAAUGUUCCUAAUCAUGGCGAUUUUCGAACAUCUGUUUAGGCCAAACCCUCCUUUUUCUUCACCUCAAGAGGUGAUCAACAGGUCCCUGGAAUCAGGACCAGUAGACAAACUUGGAAAUCCACAGCCAGUACCAACAACAUCGUGUGCAUCCGAUUUUUCAGUAGUGAUGCCUGGACAGCACUAUCCCACUUACAUUGCUCAACCAGCUCCUCUUCCAUGCCCAAGGGAAGGGAUUUAUUGGCCUUCCCAUGAACAUAACAAUCUUGUAUUACCUUAAUUUGUUUAUGCUAUAUAUAUACUUGCAUUUUGGUGUACCAGAAGAUUGUUGUUUAUAGCAUAAUAUACAGAACAGAAUGGCACAUCACUUCUAUACUCAUUUCUUCAGCUGAGUAAUGUUAUCUUUUCUAAGGAAUUUUUGCAUGUUCAGGACGCAGUAAACUUCUGAUAACUGAUAGAGAUCCAGAAUGGGUCUUUGAAUUCAUGUGUUUC